GCCGCGGUGCUGAAAUGGUAGACAGGCUAGCUUGAGGGGCUAGUGUCCGCAAGGGCGUGGAGGUUCGAGUCCUCUCCGCGGCACCA
rnacentral:tRNA from 1 species